rnacentral:tRNA from 1 species
GGGUGUAUAGCUCAGCUGGUUAGAGCGCAGCACUGAUAAUGCUGAGGUCGGUGGUUCAAGUCCACCUAUACCCACCA